ACGCCGGCCACCAUCGUAGCGACUACGCGCUACGUCUUUCGAUCUCUCUGGAUACGUUUAAAGUACUAUGGAUGUUUGGUUUUGUGAGUUAUUAUUUGUCGUGCGUUUUAUUGUUUAGUAAAAAGUGGAUACAUUUUUGUCCGAUAGUCCAACGUACAAUACAAUUUCGAAGUGGAAUGGUACCGGUCCCUCAGGACUCGAUGAAGAUGGUGUAUUCCGGAGCGAGGUAGAAGCGCGAGGGCGCGGUACGGAGUCAGCGUUUCUCGACGGGCUGCAUUCAACGCUGGCGCCUUCUGCCGCGCCCGACCACGACUGGCAGCAUACUUUCAUCCUCAUCAUCAAAGGCCUCAUCUUCUCCACAAUAAUCCUCGGCGCUUUAUUUGGCAACGCUCUCGUUAUCAUAUCAGUACAUCGACACAGGAAGCUCAGAGUUCUCACUAACUACUACGUUGUUAGUCUUGCUGUGGCUGAUAUGUUAGUCGCCUUAUGCGCAAUGACCUUUAACGCCAGCUCCGAAUUAACAGACGCCUGGUUGUUUGGUCCGUUAGCCUGUGAUAUCUUUAAUUCUCUUGACGUUUACUUCUCCAGUGCUUCUAUACUUCAUCUGUGCUGCAUAUCUGUUGAUAGAUAUUACGCUAUAGUGCGGCCCCUCGAGUACCCGGUUACCAUGACUCAUAGGACUGUUUGCUUCAUGCUCGCAAACGUUUGGCUGUGGCCCGCGUUCAUUAGUUUCGUGCCCAUAUUCAAGGGUUGGUAUACGACUGAACAACACCGCCAAUAUAGGAAGGACCAUCCUGAUGUGUGCAUUUUCAAAGUCAAUAUGGUAUAUGCUAUAGUAUCUUCGAGCGUUUCAUUCUGGAUUCCGAGUUUGGUCAUGAUUUCGAUGUACUGCCGAAUAUUCCGGGAAGCGAUCAGACAAAGAGAAGCCUUAACGAGAACUUCGUCAAAUAUUCUAUUGAACUCUGUACAUAUAAAGCACACGUCACAUGCUGCUCAUCAUUCCCAUUAUCUGCACCCUGAUAGAAGACCUUCAGAUAUAAGCCCAAACUACAGCACAUUCACUGAAGUGGGUCCUGAAGAAACUGAGUUUGGCGAAGUUGUUAUGUCUUUGGGAGAUAUCUGUCCUAGUAAAGAGGCCAGCCCGAGAAAAUCUGUGAACGUUAGCUGUGAUACUGCUAGUUCGGGGUACUGUUCCGGAGGAUCGAACAAGAGAUCUUCAAGUGGUCAACCACCUUAUGGAUGGAGACCAAGUUGUUCUUCCGCGAUUGCUACAAGAGAUCUUGCAAAAGCUGCCACAGAGCUGAAUGCGCAAGGGGCAACGCUUCGUGCCGCUGGGAAGUCGUGGCGUGCUGAGCACAAAGCAGCCCGUACACUUGGCAUCAUUGUAGGAGCAUUCCUGCUGUGCUGGCUACCAUUUUUUCUUUGGUACGUUACGACGAACGUGUGCGGGGAGCCUUGCGAGACGCCUUCGGUUGUGGUCGGUGUGCUUUUCUGGAUCGGCUAUUUCAAUUCGGCCUUGAAUCCACUGAUUUACGCGUAUUUCAAUCGAGAUUUCCGGGACGCGUUUAAGAACACGCUGAUGUGCGCCCUGCCCUGUUUGUUCGGUUGUUGGAAGGACACGGGUACGGCCCAAUUUGUGUAGUAAUUAGCUGACGUGCGACUAAACAAUUGAUAGCUUUUUGUUUGUAUCAAAAAAAAAAAAGUUGUGUGGUGUCGUGGAACACCGGAUAGGAACAAAGCUCCU